UAGGGAAUAUUGGACAAUGGGGGAAACCCUGAUCCAGCCAUGCCGCGUGAGUGAUGAAGGCCUUCGGGUUGUAAAGCUCUUUUGUCAGGGAAGAUGAUGACGGUACCUGAAGAAUAAGCCCCGGCUAACUUCGUGCCAGCAGCCGCGGUAAUACGAAGGGGGCUAGCGUUGUUCGGAAUUACUGGGCGUAAAGGGCGCGUAGGCGGCUUCGCACGUCAGGAGUGAAAUCCCCGGGCUUAACCUGGGAAUUGCUUUUGAGACUGCGGAGCUUGAGUGCAGGAGAGGUGAGUGGAAUUCCCAGUGUAGAGGUAAAAUUCGUAGAUAUUGGGAGGAACACCGGUGGCGAAGGCGGCUCACUGGCCUGUAACUGACGCUGAGGCGCGAAAGCGUGGGGAGCAAACAGGAUUAGAUACCCCCGUAGUCC
rnacentral:rRNA from 1 species